UCAGCCUCCCUUCAGUUUCAGAUUCCACAGCUCACCAUCAUGGAACUGAGGCUCUGGAUAAGCUUUCUGAUCUUCUUCCCUGCAUGUGUUUCUUCGCAGACCCUUGUCGAGUCCGGGGGUGGCAUCAAGAGACCAGGAGAGACUCUGCAGCUGACCUGCACCGUGUCUGGAUUUUCCCUAUCAAGCUACCAUAUGAAUUGGGUUCGUCAAGCACCAGGAAAAGGGCUGGAGUGGAUUGGACGCAUCACAGCUGGUGGAAGCACAAACUAUAACAGUGGUCUCCAAAAUCGGAUCAGCAUCACAAAAGACAAUUCAAAGAGCCAGGUUUUCCUCCAGGUGAACAGUCUGAAGCCAGAAGACACUUCCCUCUAUUACUGUGCAAGAGACACAAUGAGGGAAAACCUCUCCUUGGCAGUACAAAAACUGCCCUUCCAGAAACCCAGACAUCCCUCAGGCAGAGGUUUGUGUGCAGCCAUGCAAAACAGGCCCCUCUUUCUGCCUCUCUUCAUUUCCUCCAAUGCAUAA